rfam:Gorilla gorilla gorilla genomic chromosome, chr3, whole genome shotgun sequence
GCUGGGCGUGAUGGCUCACGCCUGUAAUCCCAGCACUUUGGGAGGCUGAGGCGGGUGGAUCACCUGAGGUCAGGAGUUCGAGACCAGUCUGGCCAACAUGGUGAAACCCCGUCUCUA